CAGUCGCCGCGGUAAUACGGAGGGAGCUAGCGUUAAUCGGAAUUACUGGGCGUAAAGCGUGCGUAGGCGGUGAGUUAAGUCUGCUGUGAAAUCCCCGGGCUCAACCUGGGAAUGGCAGUGGAUACUGGCUCGCUAGAGUGUGUCAGAGGAUGGUGGAAUUCCCGGUGUAGCGGUGAAAUGCGUAGAGAUCGGGAGGAACAUCAGUGGCGAAGGCGGCCAUCUGGGACAACACUGACGCUGAGGCACGAAAGCGUGGGGAGCAAACAGGAUUAGAUACCCCGGUAGUCCCUGUCUCUUAUAC
rnacentral:rRNA from 1 species